rnacentral:rRNA from 1 species
UAUGGUUGUUGGUGAGAUAACGGCUCACCAAGCCGAUAAUCGGUAGGGGCCGUGAGAGCGGGAGCCCCGAGAUGGGUACUGAGACAACGACCCAGGCCUUACGAGGCGCAGCAGGCGCGGAACCUCCGCAAUACACGAAAGUGUGACGGGGUUACCCAAAGUGUUCAAUUUUGAACUGUGGUAGGUGAGUAAUGUCCCCUACUAGAAAGGAGAGGGCAAGGCUGGUGCCAGCCGCCGCGGUAAAACCAGCUCUUCAAGUGGUCGGGAUAAUUAUUGGGCUUAAAGUGUCCGUAGCCGGUUUAGUAAGUUCCUGGUAAAAUCGGGUAGCUUAACUAUCUGUAUGCUAGGAAUACUGCUAUACUAAAGGGCGGGAGAGGUCUGAGGUACUACAGGGGUAGGGGUGAAAUCUUAUAAUCCUUGUAGGACCACCAGUGGCGAAGGCGUCAGACUGGAACGCGCCUGACGGUGAGGGACGAAAGCCAGGGGAGCGAACCGGAUUAGAUACCCGGGUAGUCCUGGCCGUAUACGAUGCAUACUAGGUGAUGAUACGGCCAUGAGCCGUAUCAGUGCCGUAGGGAAACCGUUAAGUGUGCCGCCUGGGAAGUACGGUCGCAAGGCUAAAACUUAAAGGAAUUGGCGGGGGAGCACCACAAGGGGUGAAGCCUGCGGUUCAAUUGGACCCAACGCCGGGAAACUUACCAGGGGAGACAGCAGAAUGAGGGUCAGGUUGACGACCUUACCUAACAAGCUGAGAGGAGGUGCAUGGCCGUCGCCAGUUCGUGCCGUGAGGUAUCCUGUUAAGUCAGGCAACGAACGAGAUCCGCGCCUUUAUUUGCCAGCAAGAAGUCACCACUUCGUUGGGAACACUAAAGGGACCGCCGUCGAUAAGACGGAGGAAGGAGCGGGCAAAGGCAGGUCAGUAUGCCCCGAAACCCCUGGGCUACACGCGGGCUGCAAUGGUAUGAACAAUGGGCUGUAACUCCGAAAGGAGAAACCAAUCCCGAAAUCAUAUCUCAGUUGGAAUUGUCGGCUGUAACCCGCCGACAUGAACGUGGAAUCCCUAGUAAUCGUGUGUCAUCAUCACACGGUGAAUACGUCUCUGCUCCUUGCACACACCGCCCGUCGCUCCAUCCGAGUGUGCUAAAAAUGAGGUGUGGUCAAUUUGGUCAUAUCGAGUUUCUAGUAUGCGAGGAGGGAGAAGUCGUGACAAGGUA